UCCAGAACAAAAUAUGAGCCACUCGGAGGAUGGCCUUGUCUCCUUCCUGCGUCACUUUGAGGCACACACCCACUGAAAGAUGCCAAAGCACCCGGCUUACAUGGGAGGGCUGACGUGCUUGCCCAGGAUCUUGCCCUGUGCGGUGUCCACCACAGGCGGCGAGGAUGGGUGCCCUGCGGGACAGCGAGAGGAAGUGAGACACGUCAGCGGUGAAAGAUGAGGAAGCUGACAAAAUGGAGGCACCCGGUAUGCACUUUCUGAAGAUGGAAAUGGGAUGGCCUUGCCAAGUGGUGACUAUUGAAGGACUCACCCCAAACCGUGGAAGUGGCCAAGGAGACCAGGACCAGAGCGAAGAGCCACAUCAUGAGGACAGCAGCUCCUGGGUCAGCAGCUCUCGGCUCUGCUGGGAGGGGCUGUGCAGUCAGCCCCAGAGCCCCUGCUCCUGCCCUGGCCCUCAGCUUCCAGCCUCCCAACCAAUGGCCUAAUCAGGUGGAAAAACUCUCUCCCUUCCAAAGAUUAAUCUGGGCUUUUUCUGGCCUCUAAGCCAUGCCUCUCAGACUUUACCCUCUCUUAUCUGAGCAGCAUGGACUAAACUCUCCAAUGAAGAUAGCCACAGACUGGAGAAACAACUUGUUACAUGAGGGUUUCUCCCUUCCUGGACUCUAACUUCAGUGCACUGUGAGCUUCCCAAAGGCAGGCACAAGCAGACAGAAGCCUUUAGACAAGGGGACACUUGGGUCUGGGGUCCUCAGAACAAGCCUGAAAACUUUUAGACCAGAUCCCAGCCCCACCGCUAUUCAGCUGGGGAACUGAGGACAAAUCUCUUCUUUUCCCUGGGCUUCUAUUUCAUAGGGCUCUAUGCUGUCAGGUUUGGAAGCAUCUUAAAUUGCAUCCAGGCUCCAUUCUGAUGCCUAAAUUAACUUUACAAUAUUCCUGCCAUGUCACUGAGCUUCCUGUUGCACACCUCGCAGAUCAAGGAACUCACUACCUCUAGACGCAAGGAUCUUUGGGCAGAUUGUUCUUACAGUAAGAAACUCCAUCCCUCCAUAGUGCCUGGCUCUAUUCAUGCAUUUGUUCAUCUGUCCAACCAUCCUUCCAUUUAUUCAUUAUUCCAUUUAUUGAUUCAUUUUCCAAACAUUUAGCGAAUGUCUGGUGCUGUGCUAGGUGUUCUAAACACAAAGGUGAAUUUGAGACUGGUUCUAUCUACUCAAGGAACUCACUAUGUUGUGGAUAAGACAUAUGGGAUGGAAGUGGGGGUUGGUUUGCAAUGCAAUGUGAAAGCACUGAAAUACAGAGAUGCAAAGUGCUCUCGGUGCACAUUGGAAUGUCAUUUAUCCUGCUGGGGACAUGAGCAAGAUGCUCGAAGCCUGUUUCAUAGAAUCAUUGAAUGUCUAACAAUAGUGAAUCCGUUAAAGACACUGGUACAGCUGGCUAAGGACAUACUAUGCGUUCACUCAAACUAGUGAGGCACACGGCUAUUUACUGGCAAGGAAAGACAGUCAGGAUCUAUUGUGAAGGGAAGAAACAGGUUAUAAAAUCGUUAUGGCUGUUGGGGGCCAGCCCAAUGGUGCAGCAAUUAAGUUAGCACGUCCCGCUAUGGUGGCCCAAGGUUCUCAGGUUCGGAUACCGAGUGCGGACCUACACACAACUUGUUAAGCCAUGCUGUGGCAGGCAUCCCACAUAGAAAGUGGAGGAAGAUGGGAACGAAUGCUAGAUCGGGGCCAAUCUACCUCAGCAAAAACAGGACGAUUGGCAGCAGAUGUUAGCUCAGGGCUAAUCUUCCUCAAAAAGAAAAAAAAAAUCAUUAUCCCUGCUUCGGGAAACAGUUUGGCAGUUCCUCAAAGAUUAAACGCAGAGUUACCAUAUUUCCCAGAAAUUCCCUUCCUAGGUCUGUACUCAAGUUAGUUGAGAACGCGUCCAGACAAGAACUUGUGCAUCAACAGCAGCAGUAUUCGUAACAGCCAGAAGGAGACACAACCCAACGUCCAUCAACUGAUGAACGCACAAAGAAAAGGUGGUCUAGCCAGACAAUGCAAUAUUGUCCAGCCAUAAAAAGGAAUGAAGUAUGGAUACUUCCUACAACAUGGAUGUUUUCACUCACUCCAAGGAAGAAUCUUGAAAACAUUACGCUAACGAAAGAAUCCAGACACCAAAGACCACAUAUAGUGUGAUUCUAUUUAUAAGAAAUGUCCAGAAUAAGCCCCUCCACAGAGACAGAAAGUGCAUUAGCAUUUCUCGGGGCUGGGCAGGAGAGGAGGAGGAACGACUGCUAAUGGCUGUGAGGUUUCCUUGUGGAGGGAGGGCAAGGUUCUGGGAGUAGAUAGUGGUGAUGGUUACACACCUCUGUGAAUACAACAAUACCACAGACUUGCACACUUGAGGAAGGUGAAUUUCAGGGUUUUUGAAUUAUAUUUCAAUAAAAUAAAUAUUUUCUUGAAAAUC
rnacentral:lncRNA from 1 species